CCCCAGAUGUUGCUGAACUACAACUCCCAUGAUACCCUGGCUAUCUGUUUCAUUGAAAGAAUCAUGGGAGUUGUAGUUCAGCAACAUCUGGGG